rnacentral:snRNA from 1 species
CAGGCUUCUUGGCCUUUUGGCUAAGAUCAAGUGUAGUAUCUGUUCCUAUCGGUUUAAUAUCUGAUAUGACCUCUAUAUGAGGACUGCAUAUUAAAUUGACUGUUCCAGUGUCU